CUCUUGCAUUUAUUAACUUUUCGUUAAUAUUUUAUUUCGUAAAAUCCCAGAAGAUUUUAUUUUCUGGAUGUUUACUUGUUUCAGUAGACAUUAUGCUGUACACCAUACUGGCUUUGCUAAAGGACGUCAUAGGACACCCUGUUUUUUCAGAAGACUAAGUGAAUACACUGGGUAAUGUGAAUUGAAGAUGCCAGCCCCUUGGCAAAUAUGCUGCAAUAAAAAGUCCAGAACCAAGAAUGCAAAAGCUGAAAUGGACAAUAUGGCAGAUACAAGUGAAAAAAUGCAGAUGAAGAAAGAAAUCACGUUACUAAAUGGAGUUUCUUUAAUUGUAGGGAACAUGAUUGGCUCUGGCAUAUUUGUAUCACCCAGAGGUGUUUUAAUGUACAGUGCUUCCUAUGGACUCUCGCUGGUCAUCUGGGCACUUGGUGGGAUUUUUUCCCUGUUUGGAGCUUUGUGUUACGUUGAACUGGGAACAUCCAUCCUGAAAUCUGGAGGCAGUUAUGCCUAUAUCCUGGAGGCAUUUGGGGCCUUCGUGGCCUUCAUCAGACUCUGGUCUUCCUUGCUAAUUAUCGAACCAACAACUCAGGCAGUGAUAGCAAUCACAUUUGCUAACUAUAUUGUCCAGCCAAUUUUUCCCCAUUGUGAACCUCCAUAUGAUGCAGUCAGGUUGAUUGCAGCUGCCUGUAUAUGUUCCUUAACAUUUAUUAAUUGUGUUAAUGUAAAGUGGGGUACCCGUGUACAAGACAUUUUCACAUAUGCAAAAGUUAUGGCUCUUAUCCUGGUGAUAUCUGUUGGCCUUUACAAAAUUGGCAAAGGGGAAACGGAAAACCUGAGAGCUCCCUUCGAGGGCUCAGCCACCAGCCCAGGGAUGAUCGCCCUGGCUCUCUACUCCGCCCUCUUUUCCUACUCAGGAUGGGACACACUCAACUAUGUCACUGAGGAAAUGCAGAAUCCUGAGAGGAACCUACCUCUUUCUAUUGCAAUUUCAAUGCCUAUUGUAGCUAUUAUUUACCUGUUGACUAAUAUAGCAUACUAUGUAGUGUUGGACAUGUCAGCCCUCCUCACAAGUGAUGCAGUGGCUGUGACAUUUGGAGGUGAAACCCUUAGUCAUGCCAAGUGGAUAAUUCCUAUAGCAGUGGCCAUGUCUUGCUAUAGUGGCUUAAACUCAUCAAUUAUUGCAGCAUCUCGACUUUUCUAUGUUGGAGCCAGGGAAGGACACCUCCCUGUCAGUCUGAGCUUGAUUCACAUAAAGUGCUUCACACCAGUCCCUGCUCUCCUGUUCAAUGGCUUAAUGACUUUGCUUUAUCUCCUUGUGGAAGAUGUUUUCCUCCUUAUUAAUUACUACUGCUUCAACUACUGGCUCUUUGUGGGUCUAUCUAUUGCAGGACUAAUAUAUCUGAGAUACACUCAGCCACAUAGACCACGGCCUGUUAAACUUAGCCUCUUCUUCCCUAUAGUAUACUGUUUGUGCUCCCUAUUCCUGAUUGUAGUGCCUCUCUACAGUGAUACAAUCAAUUCCCUUAUUGGCGUUGGGAUUGCCCUCUCAGGCAUUCCUGCAUAUUAUCUGGGAGUCCAUCUGCCAGUUGAAAAACGACCUAAAUGUCUACUUUGGCUCUCUGCUACAAUAACGAAGUAUGUUCAGAUGCUCUUCUACUGUUCUCUGUCAGACCUGGACAUAGAUGUGGAACCCACAGCAGCCAAGAGCAAAUAGAGCUGCCUCAACAUUGAGAAUUGUGCCUUGACAUCUCCUAUCUGGAACAAUUUCUGUCAUCUGAAGUUCUCCCCAUAUGUUCAGUCAUUCUAGAGCACUAACCAUGGUACUGUGCAUCAGUUUGAUGUCUGUUAAGUUGUGAUGGUUUUAUAAAACAUUCUGUUUUCCAGGAUUUUUUUUUAAUUCUGUUUGUUAAUAGUGAGUUAUCAUGUAAUGUUUUGAAACUAUAAAGCACUUAAUGAACAAAUAUUUAUUAGUAGAUAAGUGCUGAAUAUUAAAGGCAAAAGAAAAGUAAAUAAAAAUAUUAGAUCAGAUCUUUGCAAGAUUCAAAGUCUGAGUUUUAAACUAGAAGCCACAGUAGUCUUCUAAAAAUGUAAAUAAAUUCUUAGCCAAAGCAAAAAAAAUAUAUAGUUCUUGCUGGUACACAUGUUUGGAGCUUUAAUAUUAGUGUUGAACUAUUCUAAUGCAUAAUUCCUGGCAUGUGUAGUUUACCAAAAGCAGAAAACCAAAAUGUUUGGUCAUUUAAGUUCUGUGAGAAAUUUUCAUUUGAUGAUGGUCCACACACAUUACUCUUGUAGAAAAGGUAUUUCCAACAAACUAUACCAUUGUUCAGAAUAGUUUUGCUUUCCAGUCUGCCAUGGAGAACUUCAAGGCACUGUGUCACAUUCCAUCUAGUGUAUAUUCAGGGAAAACACCUUCUCAGACUGUCCUUUGCUUGCCUACAAGUAUCAAAAUCAAACUGAUAUUUUCCACAGUGGAACUUACUUAAGAAAUUCACAAGGACAAAUUAAAAAUUGAUGUUUUUCAAAAUUCCUUGAGCCCCUUCCUAAUCCCUGAGACCUCACCAGUUUCUGCUGGCAAGGUAACCUGCAGGUCUCCUACUGUGCACACAGAGAGCCUCCAGAUAGGUCUUCACACCAUGCAGGUGCCUGUGCACAAUACCCAGCACAGACAAGUGCACCCACCAGUGUGUGCCAUGAAGGAAAAGGGCAGUUCAGAACUAGGGAUGUUCUCUUGAACAUCAACUUUUUCAGUGUGGCACACAGGAAUGUGCAACUAGUCCUAAUCCUUAGUCUCCUGAAAAGGAAAAGACAAUAACUGUUAGGGAAAAAAAAAAAAAAGCCACCAGCCUUGCAACCUAGACCUUAAAAUGCUUCAGCUCUAAUAUGGUUUGUUGAUAUGCAGUACCAUUUGUAAUCCUUGUUGGCAAGUCAUAUUUCCUUUCUGUUUUUAUAUUUAAAUGUAACAUGCAUUGUUUUCAAUUUGAAUUUUGCCAUUCCUUUUCAAUUAACCCUGACUAAGGUAAUUUAAUCUUAUUCAAGUCUUUGUAGCUUCCAGAAUUGUUGCGUGUUAUUGAUGUCUGCUCAAAGAAAGAGAAAUGGAACUGGCAAUUCUUACUAUUUAAGCCUCUCUUCACUCCCUCCCCACAUUGCAAAAGUCAUUUGGAGGGUUGUAAUUUCAUGCAUGUAGGGUGUAGUUUAGUUUGCCCAGCUCAGAACAUCCCCACAUACUCUUCACACACAAUAUAGUGUUACAGUAUAGCACCACUGUGAUGCUGUCCUAUGAGCACAGGAAUUCUGCAUUUUCACCUCAUCUCUUACAAAGCACUGGUUGGACAGAGCUGUGGUCCCUGACUGUAUCAGAGCACAGAGAGAGUACAAACCCUCCAAGCUGGCACCAAACUAAACGUGAACACCUUUGCCUCCACAAAGUUCAAAGUCAUGCUUGGUACUGAGCCACGUCACACCAAGACAGCACUGUGCCAUCCUCUGAAGUUUUUCAAUGCAGGACCAAAGUUUCUAAACUAUUUGGGACACCUAAGGUCACAUCUCAGGUGGUAACAGCAGGCAUUACAGGGAGUGUAAUAAGAGCUGUGAAAUAAGAACUUUUCCAAACAAAAUUCUGAGCUGAGAAGCUUCUUUUGUUGUCUGCUCUUUGACGAUUUUUUUUCUUUUUUUUUAAAUGAAUCUGUGCAUUGGGUCUGUCUGGGAUAGUUAAUUUUCCCCACACCAGCCCUCACGGUGCUGGGCAGUGCCUUGGUAGCUGCAAAGGUGUUGAUAACACACCAGUGUUUGGCUGUUGCUGAGCAGUGCUGGCACACAUCAGUGCUGUCCCCCCAGCAUUCCACUCCCAAGCAGUAGGCUGGCAAGAUCCUGGGAGGGGACACACCUGGGAUAGCUGACCCAAAUUAACCAAAGGGAUUUUCCAUGCCAUAUGACAUCAGCUUAGCUAUAAAAGUCAACAAAAGUAGGAAGAAGGUAGGGCAUUUUUUAUUUAAAAUGUUUACAUUCUGGAGAAAUCACUAGCCAUGCUGAAGCCCCACUUCCCAGGUUGUGGUUGGACAUUGCUCACUGAUGGAAAGUAGAGAAUAAAAUAUUUGUUUUCCUCUUUGUUCGUGCUUCAUACAUAAACUUUUGCUUUUGCUUUAGUAAGCUGCUUUAUCUCAACGUACAAGUUAUUUUCCACCUUAUUUUCUCUCCCUUGUCCCACUGAGAAGGGGGAGGGAUCGAGCAGCUUCAUGGGCACUGGGCAUCCAAUAAAGGUCAACUCAGCACAGCCUUUUGACUUUCUGGGCACGAUGCAUAAGCCUUUGUUUUCUUUCUGGACAGAAGAAAAGUAAUAGUCAGAUACAAGGUUAUAAAUGUAAAUAAAAUUACUGAGAUUCUCUGGACAUUGGAAUCUCAGAAAUGUUAAUGUGAUUGUUGAUUUUUCACUCCUUACAAAUGUAAGUUAUUGUCAAAUAUCUAAAGCAAGUCAUAGAUGCUGAAAGUGUUUAAACAAAUAAACAUUUGAUUCUU